rnacentral:lncRNA from 1 species
GGAAGAUUGACCAGUUCCAUAAGGAGGAUGCGACGAGGGCGUCGCUAGAACAAGUGGGGGAGAAUGUCAUGGGUUGCGCGUCGGUGCUCGCAACCAUGACAAACUGGUGCGAUCCAUCGUGUUCGAGGGAGGUCAUUUAGCCCAACCAAACUGGCCCAACCAAACUGGCCCGGUGAUUGAAGAGAUUAAAAGCCCAUCUCAAGAGCCUGAUAGAAAUGGGAAGUGUUCUAGAAGAUAUAAUUAUGGAAUCUUAGAGUUCUGUUUGUAUAUAGCUGGUUAUGUAAGCUUAGAGUUCUAAUUGUAUUCAGCUUUUAAUUAUAGCUAUUGAUAUACUGUAAGGCUCAACUAUAAAUAGAGACCUCUUUGCUCAUUGUAUAUUCAUUGAGUUAUUAAUAAGAAUUUUGAGAGUAUUCACUCAAAUUUUUCUCUCAAGUGUUCUUGCUUUUGUUCAUCUUUCAAGGCUCGUUCUUACUUCGUUCUUCUGUUGUUCUUCGUGAAAAUCUUAAGGGAAUUCUAUUGAAUCCUUUAUUGUUGCGAGUGAAGUUGACUUGGGCGUUUUU